AACCCGAAUAGUCCAAUGAGCUCAAAAGUUUUAUAAUCACUGAACUCAAAAGUAACAAACAAGUUGAGUCAGCUUAAAACCUAUAAGCCGAUUCAACUUUUGCCACAGUUAUAUGUUUAUUGGACUAAAACAUUUUGAGUAAAUGAAACCUUGGAGUCAAAAUUUAUGAGUAAUGAGACGUGAUGACGUCAUAACGUACGCCCAUGAACGUGAACUCAGCCACAAAAGUCUUCAAGAUGGCGGAGGUCUGAUGCGAGUGUCAGCUGGCCCAAGUUGAUAACUCACAAACGUCUAGGUAAGUCGUAUUAUUUUAUUUUUUAUUGUAUUUUAUGACUUUCGCCUCUGUAUUAUAUAUUUGUUGCUUCUUUUGAUGUUCCUUCUAGUAUAUCCUUUGUAUUCAUGACGUGCUCCACGAGUUUUGAACCGGCGGUGCGUUUGAAAAAUAAGAGCGGAGAUGUGAGCUGAGUUUCAUCGCAUCACAAAUGUCAACCUGCGAAAACAGUUUUAUUUUGACCUUGAC